GCGAGGUCGACGGUGGCCGGAGGUGAUCGGGUGGCGGCCGUAGGUGGCCGAACGGGACCGACCAGAGGUGAAACAGAGGCUGGACAGAGGCGGUAGCUCGGCUGGGCGAGGCGAACGGCAUUCGAGCGGGAGAGCGCGAAGCGGACGGGGCGGCGGUGCGGCAGCUUCGGUGCGACGGCGUCCAAGCAGCUGGUCGCGGCUCCUUCCGGCGACGCUGGACCUGCUUCUACUUCUGCUAUUUGGUUCUGUUCGAACCAGAGGGAGGAGAGGGGCGAAGCUAUGCACAGGCAGCAGGAC
rnacentral:lncRNA from 1 species